AUGAUUGACCUGAAUGAGGAACCAGAUGAAAAUAAUGGUGAUCCUUUCUACUAUACGCAACAUGCUGCUGGAAAUGUAGAAUUUGUGGCAGAAUCACCUAAUUCCCCUAUCAUGCAAAAAGUCAGUGUUGCUGCUAUAGAAGCAAUGGAGACAAAUGGGCAGUCAAGUCGUGGGGGAGGGGCUCCGGGCAGUACACAAGUACCUGCAGCAGUAGCAGUUGAGAGUGAUGCUCAUACCCUUGAUGGCACAGGUGUUGCAGGUGAUACUGGUGGGACUGUUGGUAAUGGUUUGGGUGCUGAAAAUGAUGAUGAAGCUUGGUCACAGCCCAAGGAGCCUUAUGUGGGCAUGAGGUUUGACACUUUGGAAGAUGCCAAGGAGCACUACAAUGCAUAUUCCUUGCAGAUGGGUUUUUCAAUUAAAAUGAAUACUUCAAGGAAGGAUUUGAAAACCGGGAAGUUGAUAAAACAACAGUUUGUUUGCAACAAGUUUUGA
rnacentral:rRNA from 1 species